AUACUUACCUGGCAGGGGAGGUACCAUGAUCAAGAAGGUGGUUUUCCCAGGACAAAGCUUAUCCAUUGUGCUCUGGAUGUGCUGACCACUGUGAUUUCCCCAAUUGUGGGAAACUUGUCUUCAUAAUUUGUGGUAGUGGAGGACUGCAUUCA
rnacentral:snRNA from 1 species